rnacentral:rRNA from 1 species
UACGGGGGGGCAAGGCGUUGUCGGAAUUACUGGGCGUAAAGGGCGCGUAGGCGGCCAACUAAGUCGGAUGUGAAAUCCCCAGGCUCAACUUGGGAACUGCAUCCGAUACUGGUCGGCUUGAAUCCGGGAGAGGGAUGCAGAAUCAGGUGUAGCGGUGAAAUGCGUAGAUAUCUGGAGGAAUACCGGUGGCGAAGGCGGCAAUCCUGGACCGGCAUUGGACGCUGA